rnacentral:rRNA from 1 species
AAAUUGAAGAGUUUGAUCAUGGCUCAGAUUGAACGCUGGCGGCAGGCCUAACACAUGCAAGUCGAACGGUAACAGGAAGCAGCUUGCUGUUUCGCUGACGAGUGGCGGACGGGUGAGUAAUGUCUGGGAAACUGCCUGAUGGAGGGGGAUAACUACUGGAAACGGUAGCUAAUACCGCAUAACGUCGCAA